rnacentral:rRNA from 1 species
CGCAGGCGGUCUUGUCCGUCAGGUGUGAAAGCUCGGGGCUCAACCCCGGAAGUGCACUUGAAACAGCAAGACUUGAAUACGGUAGAGGAGAGAGGAAUUCCUGGUGUAGAGGUGAAAUUCGUAGAUAUCAGGAGGAACACCGAUGGCGAAGGCAUCUCUCUGGGCCGAUAUUGACGCUGAGGCGCGAAGGCGUGGGUAGCGAACG